rnacentral:rRNA from 1 species
UACGGAGGAUCCAAGCGUUAUCCGGAAUCAUUGGGUUUAAAGGGUCCGUAGGCGGUUUUGUAAGUCAGUGGUGAAAGCCCAUCGCUCAACGGUGGAACGGCCAUUGAUACUGCAAGACUUGAAUUAUUAGGAAGUAACUAGAAUAUGUAGUGUAGCGGUGAAAUGCUUAGAGAUUACAUGGAAUACCAAUUGCGAAGGCAGGUUACUACUAAUGGAUUGACGCUGAUGGACGAAAGCGUGGGGAUCAAACAGG